CAUGUCCUUGCUAAGCCAAGUUUUUUUUCUUGUUUGCUGCCACGCCAGUCUUUUGUUUUCCUUUAAUAAAUAUUUUUGCCUUCCUCACUCAGUCCUGCAUCUGGGGUUCUUCCCAAGCCAAGCCAAUUCAUAACACUGGAACUUUGCAUUUAAAGAUUUCUCUGUACUGAUAAUAUCCAGUGACUGAAAAUUGUAUCGUUGGAUUCAUGUAAUUGCAUUUGUCCAACUUUGAUUUGGAAGACCUGGUCAUUGAUGUUGUCUACUGGUUUAAGGGUAGUACCAAUCAAAAAGGUUACCUGGCAGGUGUGCACAUUUAUUUUAAAAUACAGAGCAUAAGAAUGCAUUUGAUUUAUAAAUAAAUGUAACAAAAUUUUUUGAGUUACACAAAGCUGAAUGCAUGGACAUCUUGAUGCACGUCUCCAUCCAGUGGUUAAGUCUUGAGCAGUGUGUAACCCAGAUCCUGAGGCUUUAUGAGCCUCUGGUCAGCUACUUCAAAUCUGCAAGUUUCCCCACCUGCUCCAAUAUCAUGGACCUGAGGAGCAUGAUAUACUGGCAGAGGAGUUUCUGGAGUACCAGACAAUGAUGUUGCCACCAAUGCAGCACCCAGAAGAAUAUGAAAUGGAAAGCUUCUGGGCUGAAAUGGCUAACUGGAAAGAUAAGGUGACCUGAGUACACCAAAUUCAAAGGCUUGCUGCAACUUCAAAGCUGGUCCUCAUCCUCCCACAUUCCAACACAGAUGCAGAGAGGGUGUUUUCUGUGGUGGGACUUAAAAAAACAAAGACAAGGAACAGCUUGACCCUAGAUGGUACCCUCUCCUCCAUCAUGACUAUCAAGAUCCUGACUUGGAGCCGUGCUUCAAGUGGGAACCAUCAUUUAACGAUCAUAAAAGCUUCCAAGAAGGCCACAGGCCUGAUAUGUAAUUUUUUUUUUUGUUAAACCUGUUUGUGAAUGAAGAAUGUCUCACAGACUGAUCUUGCAUUUUUGACUAAACCUAAAUCAUGAAAUUCUCUUCAUGGAAUACAACAGUUACUCUUAACAUAACGUUUAGUCAAGAAGUUGUUAAAUACUAACGUAUUCAACAAUGAACUAUGGUAUCCUUUAAAUAUGACAGUAAAUCUGUGCAGUGGUUAUGUAAAGUCAUUUUUUAGUGUAGACUGCAGCCAUCAGGUAUACCUGACUGUUCUCAACAUCUUCACUUCUGUUUA